GAUGAACGCUAGCGGCAGGCCUAAUACAUGCAAGUCGAGGGGCAGCGCGGUAGCAAUACUGGCGGCGACCGGCGCACGGGUGCGUAACACGUAUGCAACCUACCUUCAACUGGAGGAUAGCCCGGGGAAACUCGGAUUAAUACUCCAUAAUACAGGGAUCCCGCAUGGGAAUAUUGUUAAAGCUACGGCGGUUGAAGAUGGGCAUGCGUUCGAUUAGCUAGUUGGUGUAGGUAACGGCUCACCAAGGCUACGAUCGAUAGGGGGUCUGAGAGGAUGAUCCCCCACACUGGUACUGAGAUACGGACCAGACUCCUACGGGAGCAGCAGUAGGGAAUAUUGGUCAAUGGGCGCAAGCCUGAACCAGCCAUGCCGCGUGCAGGAAGAAGGCCCUCUGGGUUGUAAACUGCUUUUGAUAGGGAACAAAUGCCACUUGCGAGUGGAGCUGAGUGUACCUAUAGAAUAAGCAACCGGCUAACUCCGUGCCAGCAGCCG
rnacentral:rRNA from 1 species